GGUUGUAGCUCAGUGGUAGAGCGCUUGCCUUGCAUGCAUGAGGCACUGGGUUCGAUCCUCGACACAUCA
rnacentral:tRNA from 1 species